UACGUAGGGUCCGAGCGUUAAUCGGAAUUACUGGGCGUAAAGCGUGCGCAGGCGGUUUUGUAAGCCAGAUGUGAAAUCCCCGGGCUUAACCUGGGAAUGGCAUUUGGGACUGCAAGGCUGGAGUACGGCAGAGGGAGGUGGAAUUCCACGUGUAGCAGUGAAAUGCGUAGAGAUGUGGAGGAACACCGAUGGCGAAGGCGACUCGCUGGACAAGUAUUGACGCUGAGGUGCGAAAGCGUGGGGAGCAAACAGG
rnacentral:rRNA from 1 species